UUAUGAUCCCCGACUUUGCGUAUUAGCUCUAAGCUCUUUCCGUCCAUUUUAUGAUCCCCGACUAUCCGAAUUAGCUCUAAGUUCUUUCGGUCCUUUUUUUGAUCCCCGACUUUCCGUAUUAGCUCUAAGCUCUUUCGGUCCUUAUUAUGAUCCCCGACUUUCCGUAUUAGCUCUAAGCUCUUUCGGUCCUUUUUAUGAUCCCCGAAUUUCCGUAUUAGCUCUGAGCUCUUUCGGUCCUUUUUAUGAUCCCCGACUUUCCGUAUUAGCUCUAAGUUCUUUCGGUCAUUUUUAUGAUCCCCGACUUUCCGUAUUAGCUCUAAGCUCUUUCGGUCCUUUUUAUGAUCCCCAACUUUCCGUAUUAGCUCUAAGUUCUAUCGGUCCUUUUUAUGAUCCCCGACUUUCCGUAUUAC
rnacentral:lncRNA from 1 species